rnacentral:rRNA from 1 species
UACGGAGGGUGCAAGCGUUAUCCGGAUUUACUGGGUUUAAAGGGUGCGUAGGCGGACUUUUAAGUCAGGGGUGAAAUCCCGGGGCUCAACCCCGGAACUGCCUUUGAUACUAGUGGUCUUGAAUGUUGUGGAGGUGGGCGGAACGGGUCAUGUAGCGGUGAAAUGCAUAGAUAUGACCCGGAACACCGAUUGCGAAGGCAGCCCGCUACGCAACGAUUGACGCUGAGGCACGAAAGCGUGGGGAUCAAACAGG